ACCAGACUCCUACGGGAGGCAGCAGUGGGGAAUAUUGCACAAUGGGGGGAACCCUGAUGCAGCGACGCCGCGUGAGUGAAGAAGUAUUUCGGUAUGUAAAGCUCUAUUAGCAGGGAAGAAAAUGACGGUACCUGACUAAGAAGCCCCGGCUAACUACGUGCCAGCAGCCGCGGUAAUACGUAGGGGGCAAGCGUUAUCCGGAUUUACUGGGUGUAAAGGGAGCGUAGGUGGCAUGGUAAGCCAGAAGUGAAAACCCAGGGCUCAACGCUGCGGAUUGCUUUUGGAACUAUCAAGCUAGAGUGCUGGAGGGGUAAGCGGAAUUCCUAGUGUAGCGGUGAAAUGCGUAGAUAUUAGGAGGAACACCGGUGGCGAAGGCGGCUUACUGGACAGAAACUGACACUGAGGCUCGAAAGCGUGGGGAGCCAACAGGAUUAGAUACCCGCGUA
rnacentral:rRNA from 1 species